CUUACUACUGAGGCACCGGUCAGCUUUGUGAGUCUGAGAAACGGCUGAGAGGCUGUCUGGAUCAUUCCCUGCAAGCUGUAGACCUUUUUUUUUUUCUUAGUACAGAAACUUGAAAUCCUUAGCACUGAUUAUUUUAUCAUCAUAGCUUGAUGCUGCACUUAAACAUAAACCAUGCUUGCAAGAGAAAGGAGCCCUGUAACUGUCUUCUGAGACUCCCUGUGACUUGAGUGUCUUCUUGCCAUGGGGAUCCACUGGCUGCCUUGUCUACCCCAUGAACAAACCAUCAAAUUUCCAGCAUCUCCCUGCGGAAGAACACUGGAUAAGCACCCCUACUGCAAAUGAACUGUUGGAGAACUGUAUUAUAGCAAAGUGUCUGAGGAAGGUGAAGAGGACAAAGGCUGUUCUUAAAAUGAUCAGAGGCCACCUAGAGACAGUUGUGCUGUUACCAUGUCAUGCUUUACUGUGGAGAAAGGAACUGUUGGAAAUAUUGGGGGUUGCUAGCAAUGCAGGUGGAGAAAUAAGAGAUGCAGCGUUGUUUGGGGGUAGAUGGGGGGCUGGUUGGGUCUUUGUGCAGAUAGACCAGUAGUUUGGGGAUGCUGGGUGGUGAACGGAGAGUAUUGGAGGGACCGCACCGAUGUGCAGUGACAAAUUGUGCCCUAUUAGCCUAUAAAAUUAUACCACUACAUAUGAAUAUUCUGCUGUAUAGUAUUCUCACAUAGAGUGCUGUUACCAUAGUAUUAAGCUUAUACUGUUGUUAAAGGCUUUACUAAUUUUCUGCGCCUGUCUAUUUUUGUGUUAUUCUGUUAGAAUAAAAGAGUGGUAUGUUAGGAAUUAUUGUUAGCAUGACUAGCGCCAUCUUGUUCUUCGCCGCCAUUUUGUCUUAGGCAUCCAUCUUGGGUAAUGAAUCUUUUAUUAUAGUGGUUUAUUAUGUAGUAAGAAAUAUGCUGAUGUUAAGGAGACUUGCAUAGAUAUAAUAGCCCUGAGAAUGACCCUGACAAUGUGCUUGGGUGCAUUGUUAUCUCUACAAGAUGUCAAAUGGCUGUGAUUUGUGCUGGGCUAGGAGGCCCAGUUACUGUUAUCUGAAGUUUGGUAUUUCUGUAGAAAUGACUCCCUAACACUCCUUUUCUUCCAAUUAUAUUUUCUAUGAGUUUCUUUGUUCUUAUAGAAAUACUAUGUGAAAUGAUGUAAUUACGAACACGUCACUUGUUAAACCUAUAUGCUGUAACUCUUGGCUAUAAAACAGUGCCUUUCAACUUGCAAUAAACAGAAUAGCUUUUGGAAUCA